GUUGCCUUGACCUAAUGUGAUUUGGUUUGAACCAUCUAAUUUAUCAGUUAGUUUUAUCUGAUUUUGUGAAAGUGUUUCAUGUAGAAUAAACCUCCUCCAUGUCAAACCACACACAUAAAUUUGGGUGGCAUCAUAUUUAUUUUUGGAUUUAAGAAGGAGAGUCCUUCUUUCAUACUUAUCUUAAAAUUCUUACAUCUUCCAUGCAUCCCUUUAUUUUUGUGUGCCAUCAGAUGGCACCUUGAGAUCUGGGAUGUGGAAGAGGAGAGGGAGUCCUUCACUAGG
rnacentral:lncRNA from 1 species